UUUAGUACCUUGUACCGAAUAGACAUCAAAAUUUUGAUUAAUGGUAACCUUGACUCUUCAUCAUUCUGGCAGGUCAGUUCUUAUUAAUGAAACUGAUUAAACCAACAAUUCGGCAUUCGGAAAUGCUUCGUUAAACUUUUAAUAGUUGACAGACAAAACUCCUCUAAAGUUGAAAGGCAAAAUCUAAAUAGAAAGCCACUUUUCUCAUUUAUUGACAAAUUAGGUUGGGAACAAGGGACAGAACGAUACAAUCCAAUCGCUGUUUUAAGGACGUAGUCGUGCAAAAGGGAAUUGAUAAAAUGGCAAAUGGUUUUCCAGUCCUUUGCUUCCGCUAUGUCUAAACGAUCGCCCGUGACUGUGAUGGAAAAUUUCCAGUUGACAAAGUUGAAAGAUACUUCUAUCUAAAUUGGCACAAGAAAGAAAACUGGGUAUAAACUCUAAAAGCCAUCGAUCUCGCAAUGAGUUUAAAAGCUUUUUAUUCCGGUGUCGCAACACUCGACAUGGUUUAAUUGUGCUGAUACUUUUAAAUAAAGAAAUAUCAAAGAAAUGCAAUCAUCAAGCAAGUGUGAUCGAUGGCCAAUAAGAACAAAAAAACGCUGUUUUACUCAGCUCUCGCGGACUAUGCUUUUCCAAUUCAUUUAGGGGAACAUUUAGAAGUUUUAGACAAGUUGGUAAAUUUGAUAGAUUGUUACUUAAAUAUGAAAAUGUCAUUCAAGCUUUUAUUUAAGUUUGUUUCAGCAUUAUUACUAAACAGAUUAAUUAUUUCUCGUUUGACUCUAAAUAAAUAUUUUGGGGGGUUUUUUCUUAA